AGAGUUUGAUCCUGGCUCAGGACGAACGCUGGCGGCGCGCCUAACACAUGCAAGUCGAACGAGCGAGAGAGAGCUUGCUUUCUCGAGCGAGUGGCGAACGGGUGAGUAACGCGUGAGGAACCUGCCUCAAAGAGGGGGACAACAGUUGGAAACGACUGCUAAUACCGCAUAAGCCCACGGUGCCGCAUGGCACAGAGGGAAAAGGAGCAAUCCGCUUUGAGAUGGCCUCGCGUCCGAUUAGCUAGUUGGUGAGGUAAUGGCCCACCAAGGCGACGAUCGGUAGCCGGACUGAGAGGUUGAACGGCCACAUUGGGACUGAGACACGGCCCAGACUCCUACGGGAGGCAGCAGUGGGGAAUAUUGCACAAUGGGGGAAACCCUGAUGCAGCGACGCCGCGUGGAGGAAGAAGGUCUUCGGAUUGUAAACUCCUGUUGUUGGGGAAGAUAAUGACGGUACCCAACAAGGAAGUGACGGCUAACUACGUGCCAGCAGCCGCGGUAAAACGUAGGUCACAAGCGUUGUCCGGAAUUACUGGGUGUAAUGGGAGCGCAGGCGGGAAGACAAGUUGGAAGUGAAAUCUAUGGGCUCGACCCAUAAACUGCUUUCAAAACUGUUUUUCUUGAGUAGUGCAGAGGUAGGCGGAAUUCCCGGUGUAGCGGUGGAAUGCGUAGAUAUCGGGAGGAACACCAGUGGCGAAGCGGCCUACUGGGCACCAACUGACGUGAGCUGAAAGUGUGGUAGCAAACAGAUUAGAUACCGUAGUCCCACCGUAAACGAUGAUUACUAGGUGUGAGAUGACCCCAGUGCCGCAGUUAACACAAUAAGUAAUCCACUGGGAGUACGACCGCAAGGUUGAAACUCAAAGGAAUUGACGGGGGCCCGCACAAGCAGUGGAGUAUGUGGUUUAAUUCGACGCAACGCGAAGAACCUUACCAAGUCUUGACAUCCCUUGACAGGCAUAGAAAUAUGUUUUCUCUUCGGAGCAAGGAGACAGAAAAGUAAAAAGUUGUCGUCAGCUCGUGUCGUGAGAUGUUGGGUUAAGUCCCGCAACGAGCGCAACCCUUAUGGUCAGUUACUACGUAAGAGGACUCUGGCCAGACUGCCGUUGACAAAACGGAGGAAGGUGGGGAUGACGUCAAAUCAUCAUGCCCUUUAUGACUUGGGCUACACACGUACUACAAUGGCGUUAAACAAAGAGAAGCAAGACCGCGAGGUGGAGCAAAACUCAGAAACAACGUCCCAGUUCGGACUGCAGGCUGCAACUCGCCUGCACGAAGUCGGAAUUGCUAGUAAUCGUGGAUCAGCAUGCUACGGUGAAUACGUUCCCGGGCCUUGCACACACCGCCCGUC
rnacentral:rRNA from 1 species